AACGAGCGCUGGCGGCGUGGAUUAGGCAUGCAAGUCGUACGCGAAAAUAGACUUCGGUUUAUGAGUAGAGUGGCGAACUGGUGAGUACAAGGUGACUAACCUGCCCUUGAGUGGGGGAUAACUUCGGGAAACCGAAGCUAAUACCGCAUGGUUUCUUGGUCUUUCGAGAUUAAGAAUAAAGCAGUAAUGUGCUCAAGGAU
rnacentral:rRNA from 1 species